rnacentral:rRNA from 1 species
AGUGAACGCUGGCGGUAGGCCUAACACAUGCAAGUUGAACGGCAGCACAGUAAGAGCUUGCUCUUACGGGUGGCGAGUGGCGGACGGGUGAGGAAUACAUCGGAAUCUACUUUUUCGUGGGGGAUAACGUAGGGAAACUUACGCUAAUACCGCAUACGACCUACGGGUGAAAGCAGGGGAUCUUCGGACCUUGCGCGAUUGAAUGAGCCGAUGUCGGAUUAGCUAGUUGGCGGGGUAAAGGCCCACCAAGGCGACGAUCCGUAGCUGGUCUGAGAGGAUGAUCAGCCACACUGGAACUGAGACACGGUCCAGACUCCUACGGGAGGCAGCAGUGGGGAAUAUUGGACAAUGGGCGCAAGCCUGAUCCAGCCAUACCGCGUGGGUGAAGAAGGCCUUCGGGUUGUAAAGCCCUUUUGUUGGGAAAGAAAAGCAGCAGGUUAAUACCCCGCUGUUCGGACGGUACCCAAAGAAUAAGCACCGGCUAACUUCGU